rnacentral:rRNA from 1 species
AGCGGAGCGUGUGGUUAAUUCGUUGCUACACGAAGAACCUUACCUGGGUUGACAUAUAGGUUGUAGGGAACUGAAAAGGGACCGACCUUCGGGAGCCUAUACAGGUGUUGCAUGACUGUCGUCAGCUCGUGUCGUGAGAUGUUCGGUUAAGUCCGCUAACGAGCGCAACCCUCGUCGUAUGUUAUAUGUGUCAUACGAGACUGCCGGUAAAAGCCGGAGGAAGGUGAGGAUGAUGUCAAGUCAGCAUGACCUUUAUAUCCAGGGCUACACACACGCUACAAUGGUCUGUACAAUGGGUAGCCAAGCCGCGAGGCGGAGCCAAUCCUGAAAGCAGGCCUCAGUUCAGGUUGCAGUCUGCAACUCGACUGCAUGAAGCCGGAGUUGCUAGUAACCGCAGGUCAGCAAUACUGCGGUGAAUACGUUCCCGGGUCUU